GACAGAGGGGGCAAGCGUUGCUCGGAAUCACUGGGCGUAAAGGGCGCGUAGGCGGGUCCGCAAGUCGAUCGUGAAAUCCUUCGGCUCAACUGAAGGGGGUCGGUCGAUACUGCGGGUCUUGAGGGAUGCAGAGGAGACUGGAAUUCCCGGUGUAGCGGUGAAAUGCUUAGAUAUCGUCAAGAACACCUAUAGCGAAGGCAGCUUACUAGGCUGUAACUGACGCUGAGGCACGAAAGUGUGGGGAUCAAACAGG
rnacentral:rRNA from 1 species